rnacentral:rRNA from 1 species
AGAGCGAACGCUGGCGGCAUGCCUAAUACAUGCAAGUCGAACGAACUCUUCGGAGUUAGUGGCGCACGGGUGCGUAACGCGUGGGAAUCUGCCCCUUGGUUCGGAAUAACAGUUGGAAACGACUGCUAAUACCGGAUGAUGACGAAAGUCCAAAGAUUUAUCGCCAAGGGAUGAGCCCGCGUAGGAUUAGCUAGUUGGUGAGGUAAAGGCUCACCAAGGCAACGAUCCUUAGCUGGUCUGAGAGGAUGAUCAGCCACACUGGGACUGAGACACGGCCCAGACUCCUACGGGAGGCAGGCAGUAGGGAAUAGUUGGAACAAGUGGGACGAAAGCCUGAU